UGGUUACAUAGACGUUUGGCACCCGCCUUGGCCAAAAGUCAUGCGUUUCGCCAGAUUUAGGUCCGAUAGAGCAAAUUUUGCAUCAGAUUUGACAUGGUUUAGACGAUGAAAACCACCACCAAUAUCAAAAAGUCAGCUUGAGUUUGCUUUGCGGGACAAGUGGAAUAACAUUCCUCGAGAUCACAUUAAACGUCCGGGAUGAUCAAUUCCACGGCGCUGUCGAGAUUGCGCUGCACAACAGGGUUGUAACAUUUUUUGUUAGGACUGUGAUUUGAUGAUUCGACAUUGGAUGUUUCGUUUAUCUAUUGCGCCCGAAAGAUGACAAUGAAACAUUUUUGUUUGAUAUCGAUCUAUUGUUAGAAUUGUUAAUUUUCAAGAACAAUUCAUUUUGAAAGAUCAUGAUUUCUAAUAUAAAUUUUAUUUUUGAAAAACCAAGUGUUGCGUUUUCAUUGGCACUCAGUAUAUAUAAAUAGAACCAUACAAAUAGUUAGCAAAUACAUAUAAAAAAAAGAUGUGAUAUGAUUGCCAAUGAGACAAUUCUCCACAACAGACCAAAAUGACAUAGAAAUUAACAAUUACAGGUCGCCACACAACCUUCAACAAUGAGCAAAGCUAAUGCAGCAUAGUCGGCUAUAAAAGGUCUCAAAAUGACAAUGUGAAACAAUUCAAAGGAGAAAAAUAACAGGCUUAUUUAUGUACAAAAAAUAAAGAAAAAACGAAUAUGUAACGCAUAAACAAACGACAACCACUGAAUUACAGGCUCCUUAUAUCAUGUUCUCAGAUAUCAUCUCCCAAUUUAAAAAAAUCACGAAAAAUUGAACCUAUUAUGUGUUGCUCUCCUAGCUAUAAAAUGUAUCCAAAAUCAAAGAUGUGGAACAUAUUCUAUCAUAAUCAUUUGGUAACUAAUGCAAUUAGUGUCUCUUCCAUGCCUGUCUUGAACAUAAAAACUAAACUAAAUAUAAAAUAAACAAUACUCCUAAUGCUCCGGUUGGUUGUCAUCGUGCAACACAGUUAAUAACACAUAUAGGAAAAUCAUAGAACUACAUUUAUCAUAAAACACUGUCAAACAUUCAAACAUACUAUCCACACUCAUCUGUGUCCACACUUGUUUUUAAAAAAA
rnacentral:lncRNA from 1 species